GCCGGCAUAGCUCAGUUGGUAGAGUAACUGAUUUGUAAUCAGAAGGUCGCGGGUUCGAUUCCUGCUGCCGGCACCA
rnacentral:tRNA from 2 species